GUGAAGCCUCUUGCUAAAACUGCUAUUAAUACAAAUAAUUCAGUAACGAGUUCUAGAAAUUCUCCACCAAGUAGUAGCUCAGGGAUAUCUGCUGCUCUACCAGCUGGAGCAUCAUGGGGUGUACGUCCAUCUGGUAAUCAACCUUUGCUGACAAGCACAUCGAGUUCCAGCAGACCAUCUAAUCAGAAAA